rnacentral:rRNA from 1 species
GACCACCUCCGCGUCUACGUCUACGCCGAGGACGAGGUCGACGGCCUGCGCGAGCUGCUCCGCGGGCGCGACGGCGCCGUCUCCGCCGCCACCUGCCUCAAGGGCCAGUGGGGAACGCAGGUGAAGAUCCACCAGCUUCUCCUCAGGUCAAGGUAUAGAACACUGGACAAGGACGAAGCGCAUCUCUUCUUUGUUCCCAGCUAUGUCAAAUGUGUUCGCAUGACAGGAGGUCUCACCGACAAGGAAAUCAAUCAGACAUAUGUCAAGGUUCUGGGUCAGAUGCCAUAUUUCCGCAGAUCGGGUGGGCGUGACCACAUUUUCGUCUUCCCAAGCGGUGCUGGAGCUCACCUGUUUCGCUCGUGGGCAACUUUUCUGAAUCGAUCCAUCAUCCUCACUCCAGAGGGUGACCGUACUGACAAGCGAGGUAUAAGCGCAUUUAAUACAUGGAAAGACAUUAUUAUCCCGGGGAAUGUGGAUGAUUCUAUGGUGAAACCUGAUGCUCGUGCUGUCCAACCAAUUCCGUUGACGAAAAGGAAGUAUUUAGCAAACUUUCUUGGUCGUGCCCAGGGAAAAGUAGGCCGUCUUAAAUUGGUGGAACUGGCAAAGCAGUAUCCUGACAAGCUGGAGUCUCCAGAACUGAAGUUGUCUGGGCCUGACAAAUUGGGUAGGGUUGAUUACUUCAAACACCUGAGGAAUGCAAAGUUUUGCCUAGCUCCUCGUGGGGAGUCUUCGUGGACACUUCGCUUUUAUGAAUCUUUCUUUGUGGAAUGUGUGCCAGUUCUUUUAUCAGAUGAGGUUGAGCUCCCUUUCCAGAAUGUGAUUGACUACACUGAGAUAUCGAUAAAAUGGCCAUCGUCCAAGAUCGGUCCUGAACUUUUCCAGUACCUUGAGUCGAUACCAGAGGAAAGGAUCGAGGAGAUGAUCGCCCGUGGACGCGAGGUGAGAUGCAUGUGGGUGUACGCCGUGGACACGGAGCCCUGCUCCGCGAUGACUGCCAUCAUGUGGGAGCUGCAGAGGAAGGUGAGGCGGUUCCACCAGUCCGCAGAAACCUUCUGGCUUCACAACAGGUCGAUCGUGAACAGAGAAUUGGUGGAGUUCCGGCAGUGGGGAACAUCUGUUCCAUUACCAUGA